UAUCCAGCCAGUAUCUUCAAAUGGGCAGAACUACAAAUAUUCCCAAAAGCAAUUUAGGGGUAUACUGAUGCACGAAGCAAGCUGCAUUAGAAACGAUGGAGCAAUGAGAUCUCCCUCACUGUGGAACCUGCAGUGUUUCAACAGUCAGAAGACGUUUGAACAGGAGGAGGUAUGGUCACAUAUCU